rnacentral:rRNA from 1 species
UACGUAGGGGGCAAGCGUUGUCCGGAUUUAUUGGGCGUAAAGAGCGUGUAGGCGGCUUGGUAGGUCCGCUGUGAAAACUCGAGGCUCAACCUCGAGAUGUCGGCGGAAACCACUUGGCUAGAGUCCGGAAGAGGAGAGUGGAAUUCCCGGUGUAGCGGUGAAAUGCGCAGAUAUCGGGAAGAACACCUAUGGCGAAGGCAGCUCUCUGGGACGGUACUAACGCUGAGACGCGAAAGUGUGGGGAGCAAACGGG